rnacentral:rRNA from 1 species
UACGGAGGAGGCAAGCGUUAUCCGGAAUUAUUGGGCGUAAAGCGUCCGCAGGUGGCGAUUCAAGUCUGCGGUCAAAGACUGGGGCUUAACCCUGGAAAGGCCGUGGAAACUGAAUAGCUAGAGUGCAGUAGGGGUAGAGGGAAUUCCCGGUGUAGCGGUGAAAUGCGUAGAGCUCGGGAAGAACAUCGGUGGCGAAAGCGCUCUGCUGGACUGCAACUGACACUCAGGGACGAAAGCUAGGGGAGCGAAAGGG